UUUUUGUCCCCCCUUCCAGCAGGGUUUUUUUUCACUGCAAAGACUUACCACUGAAAUGUCCUCAAAUUACCUUUCUAUUGAACAUCUGUUCUCACUGCUCCAGUUAAAUGAGUCUGGUGCUGCUGCAGAAGUGCUCUGCCUGAAGAUCCAAGCGACUUGACCAAUGUUGAGGCCUCACCUUCUGCUCCUGAAGUCGCACUGGAUGACGCUUCACAUACCUCCGGCCCAACGGCCCCAGCCGACGAAGCUGGCCCCAGCUCCGCCUGCCCAGGAUUUUACUUUGGUUUUCUCCAUUACUGAAUGUGAAAAAAGCUAGUAUUAUUUACGACCUUGUCUUGUUACCCAAAGUCUGGAAAUGUAUCUCUGGUGUUCUAAUGGGCAUAGUCUGAGUGCGAACCUACAAUCUACCUUUGGUUACUUGGAUUCAACAAGACCAUGUCAGUAUCAGCAACAAAUGUCAUUCUACAAGAACAAAUGACUGGAGGAGUUGCUUUAGAUUGUGGUCAAACAUACUGAUUUCCUUAUUUGCAUUGUGCAUUUUAGGUGAGACAAUAUCAAACAAAUGUUAGUAUGCAAUGAUUGGAACAGUUUGGUGUAAGCCCAGUCUGGGGAACCUCUGCAGUAGGGAUGUAAUUGUUGAGCUUGUAUGGGCCUUUAUUUCCCACAGUGUGCCUGUAAAGUUUGUUUUGGUCACAGUGGAUCUGCUUGAAAGUUAAGUUGUUUGGGGAAGCACUAGUUACCUCUGGUGGUCUGGUCUGCUUGAUGCAUGCUCCAGGAUACAUCUAACUCCUAACUUUCCUUAUCCGUCUUGAUGUUGCCCGUUGAUGGAAAUUCCUGCAACUCCCAAGAUUUCCUUCUUUAAGUAGGCUGCUUGUGGAUUGUAGGUGACGUGGGGUGUGAGAUGAUCAAGGCAUGAAGGGAUACAGCAUAUGAUGUCAGCUCAAUUUCGAGGAGUGCUGGAGGUGUGUUCAGUAGGUCAAGGGGCAUGGCAGAGUCUUCACUGCACAGUCAAUCUUCGCAGUUGCAGCUCAUCCACAUGAUUCACUCCACCAAUAUUUAAACCCGGGCUGAUCACCUCUUCGGCGCCAGUUCGUUAUCUACUACCCAUGCUACCUGCUGCUUCCUCUACUGCGCCUACUAGCUUCCAGCCUCACCACCCAGCCUUCGCCUCCACCUACGAACACCAUCAGUACACUCCUCUCCACCUCGUGUCCAGUAACCACUCGGACUCUUCGCCGUCAGCUCUCCUCCAGCUUCGGACCUGCCGGGAGUUUCCCAGCCCUGAUUCUGCAUUUAAAGUUCUCUCUGAGUACCCUGUUUCUCCAU